CUACCUACCUUUACUGAGGUCCCAGAAGCCAGGAGCCAACUCGCAGCUGAUUCAUGUAGCCUUCUAGCAGCUGAUCCCAGUGUGACCAGCCAGAUCUCCUCCUCGCUAUAAUCCUCUUCCUGAUAUCUGCAGAGUGUUGGCAGUUGAGUCACAUAUUUUGGGCCACCUCUGUGGGUGCCAGCUUAAUCUUCAGCCUCUGUACACUCUGUACACUUCUUGUGCUAGCUGAAGGACACUGUGGUAAGCUUAGUUUUCAAAGACUUACUAUAAGCAAGGCCACCUUUGGAGGCGAGAGAAGGUAAAUUGAGCGGAUCAAGGUUUGCUAGAACUGACCAAAAGGCCGAACUUUGCACUUGUAACAACCGUGGCCAAGCAUGAAAGGAUAAUAAUGUUGCAGGUUCCAGUGAAUGUUUUAAAAGUGGCUCAGUUGGUAACAUUCUUGCCUUGCAACAGAACCCAGCACCCAUGUAAGAAAGCUGCCCAGGGAAGUAAAGGUGUGAGGUUUCCUGGACAUUUCUGGUCAGUCACCCUAGGCUACUUGGUGACUUCCAGGCCAGUAAGAGACCUAGUCCCCAAAACAAAACACAAAUCCAAGGUUUAUAGACCCUAAGGUUGUUCUCUGGCAUCCACAUGCAGGAACAGGUAUAUGCUCACAGGCAGACAUAUAAACUUGCACGCUCACAUACACACAUUUAUAAAAGUAAACAAAGAAUCACCUGCAGAAUUCCUCUCUCUGGAGCCACCUAUGUAACAGUAACCUUCAAUCCUAGCAUCCUGUCCUCCAGUCUAGUGAAAACUUUCCCAGGAUGCCCGUGUCAAUCCCUGAGGUGUGCACUCAAACUCUUCCUCAGUCUAUGAUGUUGACUUAGGUGAGAAAAGGCUAAAGUUAACCUGUAAGCCCAAGGAGAGAUAAGUUCAUUGCGGAAGGCUAUGGUUCAUGUAAGAUAACAAGCCAUUCGUUUUCACUUCAGUCAUCCAGGUUGAUGAUGCCAGUUGCACUGGAUGUGCUAGAUCACGGGUAGGCAGGAGGGAGGUCAGGACUGCCCCCAACUGGAUGAAUGUAGAAGGUGGAAAGCGUUCUAGGUUUGGCACCUAGUUCAGUGCCAUCCUCUGGGAAUCCUGUGUAUGGAGCUGGCCAGUGCCCAUCUAACUUGGCCAAUUUUAAGUAAGGCUUGCUUUAACUGGACAAUUGUAGAUUUGAUCUUUCUGCUCACCAUGUUCAGAUUUUACAGGCAUCGCUCAAAAAACAUUUUUAGUAUGCAGAAACACUAAAAUCAAAUGAAUUUGCUAGUGAUAUGAUUAGGUAGAGUUGUUUGCUUGCAAGAAGAGCAUAGUCCCAGCUAGCUCGGAGCUGAUGUGGCAUCCGGUAAGCAAGGGAGUGAAGGGUCACAGGUAAACAAAGCCUUGGGCAGCUUUGCGCAGUUCCACCCCACCAGUUUCUCUGCUUCUCCUCCACCAAGCCUAUAUCUUCCUAUAUGCUAUUUCCACUCCUUCAGAGGAGAUCAGCUUCCUUCAAACUCCAGCACUUGCUGUGGCCAGUCGACAGCCCUGAACUCUAAAGUUUCCAUCCCUUCCUCAUAUACUCAUGGCUAUCACAACAGCACACCGACUGCCUACAUCUGUCAUCCAUGGGCUGGAGAUGGGGAUGGCAGCACUAGCCUAAUCCACAGUGGCCAGCUGUGCAUUGGACAGUAGCAGGUCUCCAGAAUAGCAGAAUCACCCUGGAUUGCUCGUCUACCUUAUGCAUCGAGGCAGGCGUGGUCUCUCCGUCAAAGCCAGAACUCACAGAUAUGGCUCCUCAUGCUAGCUCUGGCGAUUUUCUCUCUCUCUGCCUCGUGAGGCUGGAACUACAGGUGAGCCACCAUGCCCACCCCAUGUUUGUGUUUGUGUGGGUUCCGGGGAUCCGAACUCUGAUCCUCACUCUUCUGCAGCCAGUAUGCAAAGCACAGACGGGUCUCGCCAGCUGGAGUCGAAAGCUGUCAUCUGGAUAGAAGUCCUGCUGCCCCAUGGAGUCAACUGUGCCUUUCCUUCCUUAGACUUCACUUAGUCUCUCACUAAUAAACAGGAAGAACACA